UUUGAUUCUGGCUCAGAUUGAACGCUGGCGGGAUGCUACACAUGCAAGUCGAACGGCAGCACGGACUUCGGUCUGGUGGCGAGUGGCGAACGGGUGAGUAAUGUAUCGGAACGUGCCUAGUAGCGGGGGAUAACUACGCGAAAGCGUAGCUAAUACCACAUACGCCCUUCGGGGAAAGCGGGGGGACCCUUCGGGCCUCGCACUAUUAGAGCAGCCGAUAUCGGAUUAGCUAGUUGGUGGGGUAACGGCUCACCAAGGCGACGAUCCGUAGCUGGUUUGAAGGACGACCAGCCACACUGGGACUGAGACACGGCCCAGACUCCUACAGGAGGCAGCAGUGGGGAAUUUUGGACAAUGGGGGAAACCCUGAUCCAGCCAUCCCGCGUGCGAUGAAGGCCUUCGGGUUGUAAAGCACUUUUGGCAGGAAAGAAACGGCACGGGAUAAUACCCCGUGCAACUGACAACCUGCAGAAUGACACCGGCUAACUACGUGCCAGCAGCCGCGGUAAUACGUAGGGUGCAGAAAGCGUUAAUCGGAAUUACUGGGCGUAAAGCGUGCGCAGGCGGUUCGGAAAGAAGAUGUGAAAUCCCAGAGCUUAACUUUGGAACUGCAUUUUAACUACCGAGCUAGAGUGUGUCAGAGGGAGGUGGAAUUCCCGUGUAGCAGUGAAAUGCGUAGAUAUGCGGAGGAACACCGAUGGCGAAGGCAGCCUCCUGGGAUAACACUGACGCUCAUGCACCGAAAAGCGUGGGAGCAAACAGGAUUAGAUACCCUGGUAGUCCACGCCCUAAACGAUGUCCAACCCGCUGUUGGGGCCUUCGGGCCUUGGUAGCGCAGCUAACGCGUGAAGUUGACCGCCUGGGGAAAUUACGGUCGCAAGAUUAAAACUCAAAGGAAUUGACGGGGACCCGCACAAGCGGUGGAUGAUGUGGAUUAAUUCGAUGCAACGCGAAAAACCUUACCUACCAUGACAUGUCUGGAAUCCCGAAGAGAUUUGGGAGUGCUCGCAAGAGAACCGGAACACAGGUGCUGCAUGGCUGUCGUCAGCUCGUGUCGUGAGAUGUUGGGUUAAGUCCCGCAACGAGCGCAACCCUUGUCAUUAGUUGCUACGAAAGGGCACUCUAAUGAGACUGCGGUGACAAACCGGAGGAAGGUGGGGAUGACGUCAAGUCCUCAUGGCCCUUAUGGGUAGGGCUUCACACGUCAUACAAUGGUCGGGACAGAGGGUCGCCAACCCGCGAGGGGAGCCAAUCAGAAACCCGAUCGUAGUCCGGAUCGCAGUCUGCAACUCGACUGCGUGAAGUCGGAAUCGCUAGUAAUCGCGGAUCAGCAUGUCGCGGUGAAUACGUUCCCGGGUCUUGUACACACCGCCCGUCACACCAUGGGGGAGUGGGUUUUACCAGAAGUAGUUAGCCUAACCGUAAGGAGGGCGAUUACCACAGUAGGAUUCAUGACUGGGGUGAAGUCGCUUAAGGUAG
rnacentral:rRNA from 1 species